rnacentral:rRNA from 1 species
UACGUAGGGGCAAGCGUUGGUCCGGAUUUAUUGGGCGUUAAAGAGCGUGUAGGCGGCCAGGUAGGUCUGCUGUGAAACUCGAGGCUUAACCUCGAGCUGUCGGCGGAAACCAUCUGGCUAGAGUCCGGAAGAGGAGAAUGGAAUUCCCGGUGUAGCGGUGAAAUGCGCAGAUAUCUGGAGGAACACCGGUGGCGAAGGCGGCAUCCUGGACCGGUACUGACGCUGGAGGCGCGAAAGCGUGGGUAGCAAACGGG